UACGAAGGGUGCAAGCGUUGCUCGGAAUUAUUGGGCGUAAAGGGUAGGUAGGUGGUGACAUUUGUCUGGGGUGAAAUCCCUGAGCUUAACUCAGGAAGUGCCUUGGAGACGGUGUCACUAGAGUACUGGAGAGGUUCGCAGAAUUCUUGGUGUAGCGGUGAAAUGCGUAGAGAUCAAGAGGAAUACCAGAGGCGAAGGCGGCGAACUGGACAGUAACUGACACUAAACUACGAAAGCGUGGGGAGCAAACAGG
rnacentral:rRNA from 1 species